UGGGGAAUAUUGCACAAUGGGGGAAACCCUGAUGCAGCGACGCCGCGUGAACGAAGAAGGUAUUCGUAUCGUAAAGUUCUGUCCUAUUGGAAGAUAAUGACAGUACCAUAGAAGAAAGCUCCGGCUAAAUACGUGCCAGCAGCCGCGGUAAUAUGUAUGGAGCGAGCGUUGUCCGGAAUUAUUGGGCGUAAAGGGUACGCAGGCGGUUUAAUAAGUCGAAUGUUAAAGAUCGGGGCUCAACCCCGCAAAGCAUUGGAAACUGAUAAACUUGAGUAGUGGAGAGGAAAGUGGAAUUCCUAGUGUAGUGGUGAAAUACGUAGAUAUUAGGAGGAAUACCAGUAGCGAAGGCGACUUUCUGGACACAAACUGACGCUGAGGUACGAAAGCGUGGGGAGCAAACAGG
rnacentral:rRNA from 1 species